GGCUUAGUUGAGUUGAGUUGUAUAAAAAAAUCUGCACAGCGCAAGGGUAUACAUCUAUUGUUUAUAUAUAAUAAUGAUUAUAAUAUUAGUUAAGGCAAUGAUUAUAUACAAAAACUAAUAAACAAAAUACAUAAUAUAGCUAUUAUAAUAGAGAUUUUACUGCUAAUGAACAAGAAAGAAAGAGGGAAAAGCAAGGAUAAAGCAUACAAAUUUUUAAAAACAAGAAGAUUGUUAGCAUGAGAAUCAAAAGGAGAUGGGUUUUUACUCAAUCAUGGCUAGGUAAUUUAGUAAUUAAAUUGAUUUAAGAUGUCUGACAUACAAGCAUCUAGCGUUCGUGAUCAAAAGGUGGAUUUUCUAGCAUUUAGUUACUUUUUUCGAAAUGUUGGUGGAUGGAUCCAUAUGCAACAAAUCCUAAGAUAAUUACCAAACGCCCCAAAUUCAGUGGUUGGGACAUCAACCACUAAAAGCUAGUCCCAACCACUGAACCAAACAGCACAUAAUCAUUUAUUUGGUAGCAGUGGUGGCAACAAGAAAGAAGAUCGUUAUAAUGGGUUGUGGUGGUAGUGGUGGUGGUGGUG
rnacentral:misc_RNA from 1 species